rnacentral:rRNA from 1 species
UACGUAGGCAGCGAGCGUUGUUCGGAGCUACUGGGCGUAAAGGGUGUGUAGGCGGUUGUUUAAGUUUGGUGUGAAAUCUCCCGGCUCAACUGGGAGGGUGCGCCGAAUACUGAAUGACUAGAGUGCGGGAGAGGAAAGUGGAAUUCCUGGUGUAGCGGUGAAAUGCGUAGAUAUCAGGAGGAACACCGGUGGUGUAGACGGCUUUCUGGACCGUAACUGACGCUGAGACACGAAAGCGUGGGUAGCAAACAGG